rnacentral:rRNA from 1 species
UACGGAGGGUGCAAGCGUUAUCCGGAUUCACUGGGUUUAAAGGGUGCGUAGGUGGGUUGGUAAGUCAGUGGUGAAAUCUCCGUGCUUAACAUGGAACUGCCAUUGAUACUACUGAUCUUGAAUUUUCUGGAGGUAAGCGGAAUAUGUCAUGUAGCGGUGAAAUGCUUAGAUAUGACAUAGAACACCAAUUGCGAAAGGCAGCUUACUACAGGGAUAUUGACACUGAGGCACGAAAGCGUGGGGAUCAAACAGG